GUAAUUUGUAGAGGAUGUUUUUGGUGCGGUAUCUUCCGAGUUCCUUGGAACAGGACGCCUUAGAGGGUGAGAGCCCCGUACGGUUGAAUGCCUAGCCUUUGUAAAACUCCUUCGACGAGUCGAGUAGUUUGGGAAUGCUGCUCUAAAUGGGAGGUAAAUUUCUUCUAAAGCUAAAUACCGGCCAGAGACCGAUAGCGCACAAGUAGAGUGAUCGAAAGAUGAAAAGCACUUUGAAAAGAGGGUUAAAUAGCACGUGAAAUUGUUGAAAGGGAAGGAUUUAUGACCAGACUUUUCCUAGGCGAAUCAUCCGGUGUUCUCACCGGUGCACUUCGUUUAGUUUAGGCCAGCAUCGAUUUUCGGGGCGGGAUAAAAGCUUUAGGAAUGUGGCUCCCUCGGGAGUGUUAUAGCCUAUUGUAUAAUACCGCCCUGGGGAUCGAGGUACGCGCUUCUGCAAGGAUGCUGGCGUAAUGGUUAUCAAUCACCCGUCUUGAAACACGGACCAAGGAGUCGAACAUUUGUGCAAGUGUUUGGGUGUUAAACCCUCACGCGUAAUGAAAGUGAACGGAGGUGAGAGCCCUUUCGGGGGUGCAUCAUCGACCGAUCCUGAGUCUUCGGAUGGAU
rnacentral:rRNA from 1 species